rnacentral:rRNA from 1 species
GAUCAUGGCUCAGGAUGAACGCUAGCUACAGGCUUAACACAUGCAAGUCGAGGGGUCAGCAUGGUCUUAGCUUAGCUAAGGCCGAUGGCGACCGGCGCACGGGUGAGUAACACGUAUCCAACCUGCCGUCUACUCUUGGACAGCCUUCUGAAAGGAAGAUUAAUACAAGAUGGCAUCAUGAGUCCGCAUGUUCACAUGAUUAAAGGUAUUCCGGUAGACGAUGGGGA